rnacentral:rRNA from 1 species
UACGUAGGAUCCGAGCGUUGUCCGGAUUUACUGGGUGUAAAGGGUGCGCAGGCGGACUGAUAAGUCAGUGGUGAAAUCUCGUCGCUUAACGACGAAACUGCCUUUGAUACUAUCAGUCUUGAAUCCGGUAGAGAUCUGUGGAAUUCCGAGUGUAGCAGUGAAAUGUGUAGAUAUUCGGAAGAACACCAGUGGCGAAGGCAGCAGAUUGGGCCGGUAUUGACGCUCAGGCACGAAAGCAUGGGGAUCAAACAGG